AGCUCACUUGGAAAGCCAGUAUUCCUCCUGAGCUAAUGAAAAGAAAGGCUGUCGUCUUAUGCCAAAAGCAAUACCAACCUUGUUCACGGGCUGAGAUCUAGAGUGUGUAAUUCACGAAGUAUGAAUCUGCUGGGUAAUGUGAUAUGAAAAGCGAAUGCACCAUUUCUUGGUGAUGAUUCAGGUCAGCGUUGGGACCCAGGAAUCUCCUGUUAAUCAGUACCCUGGUGAUUUUGAUCCAGAGACGGGGUCUAUUAUCUGGUCCUGUUGUCAAGGCUGGUCUCAAACUCCUGGCCUCCAGCGAUCCUCCCUUUUUGGCCUCCCAAGAUGCUGGUAUUACAGGCAUGAGCCACCAUGGUCCACCCGGACUCCUUUUCAUAGGAGACAGUUCCCUAGGCAGAGACUGGGCUUGAAACAGGGGAGACAGUUUUUUAUUCUUAAGAAGUUCCUCUAAAGAAGAGGGUAGAGACUAGAACUGAAUGAGAUGGACAUAGAGAUGGCCAAGAAAAGCAUCGUCCUCUGCCAAGUCAUGGGGUCAUGUGUGGUGGAUGGUGACAUGGUGUCCUCAGCUCAGAGUCCAGCUGGGGGCUCAGAAGCAAGGUAACUGAAGGGAGAGAAUUAUUUGAGCACCUAGUGUGUGUAAGAUGCUUCACAUUUAUUAUUUCACCUAACCUCUACACAACCUGUUGUGGGUAUUACUGGUCUCAAGCUGGGAUUCAAAGCAGGUUUUUCCAACCUCAGAAUUCUUGCCAGACUGAUUAGCCUUCUGCAUCUGGA
ensembl:lncRNA GALNT7-DT GALNT7 divergent transcript